UGGGGAAUUUUGGACAAUGGGGGAAACCCUGAUCCAGCCAUCCCGCGUGUGCGAUGAAGGCCUUCGGGUUGUAAAGCACUUUUGGCAGGAAAGAAACGUCAUGGGUUAAUACCCCGUGAAACUGACGGUAUCUGCAGAAUAAGAACCGGCUAUAUACGUGCCAGCAGCCGCGGUAAUACGUAGGGUGCAAGCGUUAAUCGGAAUUACUGGGCGUAAAGCGUGCGCAGGCGGUUCGGAAAGAAAGAUGUGAAAUACCAGAGCUCAACUUUGGAACUGCAUUUUUAACUACCGGGCUAGAGUGUGUCAGAGGGAGGUGAAAUUCCGCGUUUAGCAGUGAAAUGCGUAGAUAUGCGGAGGAACACCGAUGGCGAAGGCAGCCUCCUGGGAUAACACUGACGCUCAUGCACGAAAGCGUGGGGAGCAAACAGG
rnacentral:rRNA from 1 species